rnacentral:rRNA from 1 species
UACGGAGGGAGCUAGCGUUGUUCGGAAUUACUGGGCGUAAAGCGCGCGUAGGCGGCUUUGUAAGUUAGAGGUGAAAGCCCGGGGCUCAACUCCGGAAUUGCCUUUAAGACUGCAUCGCUUGAACAUCGGAGAGGUAAGUGGAAUUCCGAGUGUAGAGGUGAAAUUCGUAGAUAUUCGGAAGAACACCAGUGGCGAAGGCGACUUACUGGACGAUUGUUGACGCUGAGGUGCGAAAGCGUGGGGAGCAAACAGG